rnacentral:rRNA from 1 species
GGGCCCGCACAAGCAGUGGAGUAUGUGGUUUAAUUCGAAGCAACGCGAAGAACCUUACCAGGGCUUGACAUACACAUGAAUAUGAUAGAGAUAUCAUAGCUUUUCGGAGCAUGUGAACAGGUGGUGCAUGGUUGUCGUCAGCUCGUGUCGUGAGAUGUUGGGUUAAGUCCCGCAACGAGCGCAACCCUUAUCGUUAGUUGCCAGCAGGUGAAGCUGGGCACUCUAGCGAGACUGCCGUUGAUAAAACGGAGGAAGGUGGGGACGACGUCAAAUCAUCAUGCUCUUUAUGUCCUGGGCUACACACGUACUACAAUGGCAAGUACAGAGGGAAGCGAAACCGCGAGGUGGAGCAGAACCCAAAAAGUUGUCACAGUUCAGAUUGCAGGCUGAAACUCGCCUGUAUGAAGAUGGAAUUGCUAGUAAUUGCAGGUCAGCAUACUGCAGUGAAUACGUUCUCGGGCCUU